ACUCAAAAGGCCAGCUUAGAGGUCUUUGAAACGAGUAGCAAGAAAGCCACUGUGUUCCUUGACUCAACGGACACAGUGAACAAUUUUGCACUGCAUUUCAAAGCCAGCUCCUCAGCCAGCUCCUCAGCCACCCCACCUACUAAAGAGCCCAUCAGUGUGCUUUUGAAAAAGUACAAGAUCUUUUCAACCAAAGAUAUAAGGAGGCCGGAGGUACUGGAAGGCUCCCCUACCUAUCCAUUUUAAAUAACGAUGAUGUAACAAUCAAAGUUGCUGGGCUGCCCAUUGGACUUGACCUCAAAGCCCUCCUUCUACGGAAGAAACCAAUUAGAGGCCAUUUUGGCAGCUGCUGACCAAAUUUCAUUUGAAAUAAAUACAACACAAUGCAACCCCACUGACAUGGCAG